rnacentral:rRNA from 1 species
GCCCAGACUCCUACGGGAGGCAGCAGUGGGGAAUAUUGCACAAUGGGGGGAACCCUGAUGCAGCAACGCCGCGUGAGUGAAGAAGUACCUCGGUAUGUAAAGCUCUAUCAGCAGGGAAGAAGAUGACGGUACCUGACCAAGAAGCACCGGCUAAAUACGUGCCAGCAGCCGCGGUAAUACGUAUGGUGCAAGCGUUAUCCGGAUUUACUGGGUGUAAAGGGAGCGCAGGCGGCACGGCAAGUCAGAUGUGAAAGCCCGGGGCUCAACCCCGGGACUGCAUUUGAAACUGUGUAACUGGAGUGCAGGAGAGGUAAGCGGAAUUCCUAGUGUAGCGGUGAAAUGCGUAGAUAUUAGGAGGAACACCAGUGGCGAAGGCGGCUUACUGGACUGUAACUGACGUUGAGGCUCGAAAGCGUGGGGAGCAAACAGGAUUAGAUACCCCAGUAUA